rnacentral:sRNA from 12 species
CCUUAACAGUUACAUUGUGUAACUGACAUUUGCCAAGAUAAGGAGAUUUACAUG